CCUACGGGAGGCAGCAGUGAGGAAUAUUGGUCAAUGGACGAGAGUCUGAACCAGCCAAGUAGCGUGAAGGAUGACUGCCCUAUGGGUUGUAAACUUCUUUUAUAUGGGAAUAAAAUGUUCCACGUGUGGGAUUUUGUAUGUACCAUAUGAAUAAGGAUCGGCUAACUCCGUGCCAGCAGCCGCGGUAAUACGGAGGAUCCGAGCGUUAUCCGGAUUUAUUGGGUUUAAAGGGAGCGUAGGUGGAUUGUUAAGUAAGUUGUGAAAGUUUGCGGCUCAACCGUAAAAUUGCAGUUGAAACUGGCAGUCUGGAGUACAGUAGAGGUGGGCGGAAGUCGUGGUGUAGCGGUGAAAUGCUUAGAUAUCACGAAGAACUCCGAUUGCGAAGGCAGCUCACUGGACUGCAACUGACACUGAGGCUCGAAAGUGUGGGUAUCAAACAGGAUUAGAUACCCUAGUAGUC
rnacentral:rRNA from 1 species